GACGAACGCUGGCGGCGUGCUUAACACAUGCAAGUCGAACGAAGUGGCGAACGGGUGAGUAACGCGUAAUCAACCUGCCCUUCAGAGGGGGACAACAGUUGGAAACGACUGCUAAUACCGCAUACUGAAGGAGGGGAUUGCGUCUGAUUAGGUGGUUGGAGGGGUAACGGCCCACCAAGGCGAUGAUCAGUAGCCGGUCUGAGAGGAUUAACGGCGAGAUGGGGACUGAGACGCGGCCCAGACUCUUACGGGCGGGAGCAGUGGGGACUCGUCCGGAAUGGACGAAAGUCUGACGGAGCAACGCCGCGGGAGUGAUGACGGACUUAGGGUUGUAAAGCGCUGUUAAUCGGGACGCGGUACCGGAAUAGAAAGCCACGGCUAACUACGUGCCAGCAGCCGCGGUAAUAC
rnacentral:rRNA from 1 species